UCUCCGAGGAGCGUUGCAGCAGGCCCAUUCACCAGAUGCGGUCUGCGAGGCUCGGAGUCAUACCUGCAACGACGCUCGCCCA
rnacentral:ncRNA from 1 species